GAAAGUAAGCAAGGGCAGACGGUGGAUGCCUUGGCUCUCGGAGGCGAUGAAGGACGUGAUAAGCUGCGAAAAGCCCGGGGGAGAUGCAAAUAAUCCUUGAUCCCGGGAUUUCCGAAUGGGGCAACCCGGCAGGCAGGAGGCCUGCCACCAUGCAAAUGGGGCGAACGCGGGGAACUGAAACAUCUAAGUACCCGCAGGAGAAGAAAACAAAAGUGAUUCCGCAAGUAGUGGCGAGCGAACGCGGAACAGCCCAAACCGGUGCCGUUUCGGCGGCGUCGGGGUUGUAGGACCACGCCGUGGCAAGACGGCAGGACAGCGGAAGGCGUUGGAAAACGCCGCCAAAGACGGUGAAAGCCCGGUACGCGCCAUCCUGCCCAAGCCUAGUGGCAUCCUGAGUAACGCGGAGCACGAGGAAUUCUGCGCGAAGCAGCGGGGCCCAUCCCGCAAGGCUAAAUACUCCCGGGAGACCGAUAGCGAACCAGUACCGUGAGGGAAAGGUGAAAAGAACCCCGAACAGGGGAGUGAAACAGACCCUGAACCCGUCUGCCUACAAGCGGUCGGAGCACCAAUUUGGUGUGACGGCGUGCCUUUUGCAUAAUGAACCUACGAGUUACUUCCAGUGGCGAGGUUAAGGCGUUCAGCGCCGCAGCCGAAGCGAAAGCGAGUCUGAAAAGGGCGUCGAGUCACUGUGAGUAGACGCGAAACCAAGUGAUCUACCCUUGGCCAGGAUGAAGGUUGGGUAACACCAACUGGAGGUCCGUAUGGUUAUACGUUGAAAAGUGUUCCAAUGAGCUGAGGGUAGGGGUGAAAGGCUAAUCAAACUUGGAGAUAGCUCGUACUCCCCGAAAUGCAUUUAGGUGCAGCCUGCCGGCAGUAUUGCACGAGGUAGAGCGACUGAUUGGAUGCGAGGGCUUCACCGCCUAUCAAGUCCAGACAAACUCCGAAUGCGUGCAAUACAUUCCGGUGGAGUGAGGGCGCGGGUGCUAAGGUCCGCGUCCGAGAGGAGAAGAAUCCAGACCACCUGCUAAGGCCCCGAAAUGGUGCCUGAGUUGAGAAAACGAAGUCGGACUGCAAUGACAGCUAGGAUGUUGGCUUGGAAGCAGCCAUUCAUUUAAAGAGUGCGUAACAGCUCACUAGUCGAGGAGUCCGGCAUGGAUAAUAAUCGGGCAUAAGGCAUCUGCCGAAGCAGUGGAUCACGCAAGUGAUGGUAGGGGAGCAUUCCAUGUGCGUGGAAGGUCGGGGACGACCCCGGCUGGAGCGCAUGGAAAAGCAAAUGUAGGUAUAAGUAACGAUAAAGGAAGCGAGAAACUUCCUCGCCGAAAGACUGAGGUUUCCUGAUCAACGCUAAUCGGAUCAGGGUAAGUCGGGACCUAAGGAUAAGCCGAACGGCGAAGCCGAUGGAAGAAACGGUCAACAUUCCGUUACUACUGUAUUGGGUGAAGCGGGGACGGAGAAGUGAAAGCCCUGCCGGCUGACGGAAUAGCCGGUUGAAGGGUGUAGGUGCAGAUGGCCGCAGGCAAAUCCGCGGCUUGAGCCGAACCUGAUAGUAUGCCAAGCGCUUGCGCGAGGCAAGAUGGGCGUAAUCCGGCUCCCUAGAAAAUCCGCUAAACAUAACCAUUACAGUACCCGUACCGCAAACGGACACACGUAGUUGGGUUGAAAAUACUGAGGCGCUCGAGUGAUUCACGGUUAAGGAACUAGGCAAAAUGGUCCUGUAACUUCGGGAUAAAGGACGCCAAUCCAAAGAUUGGCCGCAGAGAAUAGGCCCAGGCGACUGUUUAACAAAAACACAUGGCUAUGCUAAAUAGUGAACAUGAAGUAUAUAGCCUGACACCUGCCCGGUGCCGGAAGGUUAAGAGGAGAUGUCACCGCAAGGGAAGCAUUGAAUUGAAGCCCCGGUAAACGGCGGCCGUAACUAUAACGGUCCUAAGGUAGCGAAAUUCCUUGUCGGGUAAGUUCCGACCUGCACGAAUGGUGUAACGAUCUGGGCACUGUCUCAACCGUGAGCUCGGUGAAAUUGUAGUAUCGGUGAAGAUGCCGAUUACCCGCGAUGGGACGAAAAGACCCCGUGAACCUUUACUAUAGCUUUACAUUGCGUUUGGGCAACCGAUGUGUAGGAUAGGCCGCGGCUUAUAUCGCCGGCAGUGGCCGAGCAGGCCAUUAUGUAGAGAUAAUCGGGCUCGGGCUCGGGUAUGGAUUCGGCGCAGGUGGUCAGACACAGCGCGGCGAAUAUCACCAGUAUCAAAGAAAUGAGCCGUUUCACAGUUUCCACCUCCUUUGGCACAAGUAUAGCCUCAGUGGAGCGAGAAAAUUGUCAAACCGGGGUGGGAAAUGGCCCGAAAUUAAGAAGCUGAUCCCGAGAAGUAUUGACAAAGAGCAAAAGGAAAUUUAUAGUUUGCAGGAACGGCGGCAGCAUCACCGGUGAUGUUUGCGCGUACAAUGCGGGAAGCGUGGAUUCAAGAGAAAAAAUAUGCGGCAGGUUAUAUAAUAUUUGGUCUUGUGAAUGGCGUAAAAAGAUGUAUAAUAUAAAUCUCUCCACUUUCAUGCGGAAUCGCGUAAGUAGGGAGACCUGCGCAUAUAAUUACCCGUGCUGGAUCGAAUAGAAUGAAAAA
rnacentral:rRNA from 1 species